ACGCAUUGAAAUUUAACAAAUAGAUACAUAAAUUAAUUUUUAGAAAUCACACCUUUUUCGAUGUGUCUAAUUCAGCUAAUUUUUGCAGAAUGGAAUCUACAUGCAUGCAGCACAGCACAGAUUUCGCAGAAUCGUCUCUCUGGGUGCAGGGCUAGGAUCGUGAUUCGCUGCUCACUCUUCCAGCAGUGUUGAUUGCAAAGAUGCUGAAAUCCUUGGAAUGUAUACAAGUGCGAGGCCAGGCCAUAAUAAGACAACGGUGGCAGCAGCCCCCAUUGGAUUAAAUCUCCAUGCAACCGAGGCUCCAGGAUCUCCAAAAGUUUCGGGAGGCGUGAUGAAGGAAAAGCACCCCAAGACCCAAGACCUCCGAGUAGCAUGCUGCUAAUUGCAUCGCCCCUGCGUCCAUAAUCCACAGACCUUCAGAGAGCUUUUAGGGUUUUGCGAUAAGCCGUACAUAGAAUGUGUGAGAAGAUGAAACAAAAACGAAAAAGAAUGCACUUGUCGCCGUCGCCAAGCCUAAGAGAUGCUGUUCAACCACUGCUCAGCACAUCCAGUGGGCUGUGCUGGCUCAGCACCACCGAGCGGAUGACAUCAGGCCCAGUGGCUGCAGAGGAGCUUGGAUCCGAUGUGACCAUCUUUCGAGGACUUUUACUGACACGCCAGUUGUUUGUCCAUAAAGCCGUUGGAAAGAAUGGAAGCUGAAGCACGCAGAUGACGCAGGCCUGCAAUUUGAUGAGACCACCUAGAAUAAGAGGCCCCAUCUACAUAAUUUCGAUGAAAAAGCAAACCACCAUUGUCUAUAGCGCAAAUCUAAGACUUCUUUAGAUCAAUAGAAUGUAACUGACGAAUUUUUCAAUCCACAGAACCUUGUGUCAAUGGAAGAGUGCCAGCGGGAUCAGGGAGUUUCUGAGCCAUGUGAGGGACCUGCGAAAAUCAAGAAGAAGUAAUUGUCACUUGUCCGGAACUGAAACGGGAAUGCAGUUAGCCUAUUGUCCAGUUUUCCGGGCCCACAAGAUCAGCAGCAUCGCAAAAUGAGCCACAUCAGCCAACAUUCUCUAGAAGGUUCGAAAUAAUCUGCAACACAAUUGAUUCGAGCUGGUGAUCCGAGAGAGCGAGUCUUAAUCUGCCUGUGCGAAGCAGAGAAAAGAAGAAAUCCUGAGAGGCAAAGGAUUACGCCUGGUGCUGCAAACGGGGUCCAGAUGUGCGAUAAAAUUGGUUCGCACUGCGCAGAUCCAAGAUGGCGUCUGAAUGUGAUUUGGACCACUGUGGCCUUCCAGGAGGGAUGCUGAAGCCCUUUCUAAAUAGUGGAACUGACAGAAGAUCGAAGCUCGGCAGAGUUUUGCGCGCACCCACAGGCCGUUCCCGCACCAGUCAUCGUCUCGGACAGCGGCUGACAUUGAUGCAGGCAUCCGAGAACGAGAGAGAGAAGCGGAGCAGCGCGCGAGGUGAGUGACUAAGUCUGCACGGUUUAACGUCCCUGGUCCGCUCGCUGCUGUCAUGUCCAACCCUUUUGUGUCGAGUCACGUGGUCUUGAUGAUGAUUAAUCACCUUUCUUUGGCUGCAUGUAUGCGUGUGUGUGUGUUGCAACAGCAGGCAGGCCGCCGCCUGCUUGUGGUGUGCAUAAUGCACUGUAUACGACGAGGAGGGUAACAAAAAGCCGGUGUUCACUCAUUUGCGCGCGCGGAGCCAACGCAAAACGCGCUCGGCGCGCGGCACCCAUUGCUUGACGGACGGCGAUUUAUUGCCUGCCGCCGUAUCAAUCAAGCCAGCCCGCCGAAGAUCUCCGCGCCGAGAUUUUUGCAUGCCUGAUGAAUUGCAU